AAAUGAAUCUUAUAUGUUUA
rnacentral:snRNA from 1 species